AGUGCAAUUGCUGAAUCAUAUGGUAAGAACAUAUUUAAUUUUGCAAGAAAUCACCAAACUGUUUGGCAUAAUGGCUGUACCAUUUUGUAUUCCCAGCAGCAAU
rnacentral:pre_miRNA from 1 species